ensembl:lncRNA
AUUUGAUCACCUUUAGUCAAGAUGGCUGUCCAAGUAUCUUUUUUCAACUUUAGCAAAAUGGCUGCCAGCCAGCCAUGUGGCCAGCUUGCCAUGUGGCUGACUGCAAAAUGGUAGUAACCUGCACCAUUUGUUUUAGCUGUAUGCUUGUAACAGAACUUAGGUUAUGCCAGGAAACAGAACAUUUUUUUUAAAAAGUAUACAUAAUUUACUUGAGAAAUAAACAGAACUUUUUAAAUAGAAUUAAUUUAAUAUGGUUAAAAUUUUAGCUUAUAUUACCAAUUUUUAAAAUUUAGUGUUUGUAAGUAUGAGAAACCAUAACAAACAUAGUUUACAUUUUUCUCUGACUUUUGACAACCUUUCCUCUGACCUUUGACAACUUUCCUCUGACUUUCUACGACUUUCCUCUAACCUUCUACAAACUUUCUUUGACCCUCUAUAACUUUUUAUAUACCUUUAGUUCAUUUCUCUGAUUCCCUUAGACAUUCUUAUUUAGACAAAUUUCUCUUUCUCUUUCUCUCUUGUAGUUUUUAAUAAAUUUAGAACAUCUGGAUCAGGCCAGAUGGUUCACCUGCCCCAGCUCCAUGUGCUCAGGUCAGAGACUUGGAGGGGGGGGGUCUGCUGCUGGUAAGCCCAGACCCUCUGCACAUGCAGGGGCGGGAAAGAGACCCCCGAAGUUUCUCUGCUCCUGAAGGGACCAGCUCCCCAUUUCGGUAGCCACGACAGUAACACGUGCUUGCCAUAACCUUGCCUUGGUCACUUAGAGGGCAGACGCCUGUCUCGUGACAAGGAACCAAUCAGAAGUUAGCUGGUGGCGCUAUGCUUUACAACCCUGGGUGUGCUUUACGGACAAGUGCACAGCAAUGAUGCACAGAGCAUAGCAACCACCCUGGGAGGGCCUAUGGGCCAUAACAACCAGUUGGCCAAUCAACACAGGGCAAGCCCUCCAAGCCUGGAGGCACACCAAUCCUGAGGCUGUGCAUACCCCUAGACACUCCCUUUACGCUGCCCUAUAAGAUUUCUCGGGAGCCCCUAGGAGCUGUCUUUGCUAGCCAACCGCCAUGGCGGGUGGGUGAAAGACCCGAGUUAAUAUGGGAUUAGCUCGUGAAACAACAAUAAAGCCUCAUGCAGUUUGCAGCAAGCUCUCAAAUCCGCCUGGUGAUUGGGGUGACCGAGGUCGUGGCCUGGGACCCCAGAUGCCUGAGUUUUCCGGGUGUCUAACAUUUGGGGGCUCUUCUGCGAUUUGCGACCACCCCUCACCUGAGUGGAUUUGAUCUUGGAGACAGACUGCCAGAUCCUGACAGUGACCCAAAGUCUCCAAAGAAGAUUAAGAGGCACCUCAGUUCCUGCACCUGGACCAGUGAGCGAGAUGCUCAGAUGUGAUACCUACCGCCUGCCAGAACCUGGCCAAGACUGUGGACAAAGCUGCUGGACACUGGAAAAUUGAUUGCACCCCCUUUGCCUAGACAAAACAAGGUCAGUCUUUUCCAUGUCCCUCUUCCACAGAGAGGAAAAAAACCUCUCACCUUAUAGGCCUGGCGAAGAUUGCCGUUCUUUGAGACAUCUACCUCCAGCGGUAAUGGAGAAACUUGGGUAUGGCUAACUGUAUAUGGACUGGCUCCUGUCACUUUUUAGUAGAUUCGGAUAAAA